rnacentral:rRNA from 1 species
AGCGAACGCUGGCGGCAGGCCUAACACAUGCAAGUCGAGCGGCCGUAGCAAUACGGCAGCGGCAGACGGGAGAGUAACACGUGGGAACGCGCCCUUCGGUCUGGAAUAACCCAGGGAAACUUGGGCUAAUACCGGAUACGCCCUUACGGGGAAAGAUUUAUUGCCGAAGGAACGGCCCGCGUCCGAUUAGCUAGUUGGUGAGGUAAUGGCUCACCAAGGCGACGAUCGGUAGCUGGUCUGAGAGGAUGACCAGCCUCACUGGGACUGAGACACGGCCCAGACUCCUACGGGAGGCAGCAGUGGGGAAUAUUGGACAAUGGGCGCAAGCCUGAUCCAGCCAUGCCGCGUGGGUGAUGAAGGCCCUAGGGUUGUAAAGCCCUUUCAGCGGGGAAGAUAAUGACGGUACCCGCAGAAGAAGCCCCGGCUAACUUCGUGCCAGCCGCCGCGGUAAAAC